CAAAGGCUUGGUCCUGACUUUACUAUCAGCCAUAACACAACUUACACAUGCAAGUCUCCGCAGCCCUGUGAGGAUGCCCUUAAUCCCCCGCCCGGGGACGAGGAGCGGGCAUCAGGCUCAAAAAUUAGCCCAAGACGCCUUGCCACGCCACACCCCCAAGGGAACUCAGCAGUGAUAAAUAUUAAGCAAUGAGCAUAAAGCUUGACUUAGUUAGUGUUAAGAGGGCCGGUAAAACUCGUGCCAGCCACCGCGGUUAUACGAGAGGCCCUAGUUGAUAGACACGGCGUAAAGGGUGGUUAAGGAUAGUAAAAAUUUUAAAGCCAAAGGGCCUCCUGGCCGUCAUACGCUUCCGAGUGCCCGAAGCCCAAAUACGAAAGUAGCUUUAACACAAGCCCACCUGACCCCACGAAAGCUGAGAAACAAACUGGGAUUAGAUACCCCACUAUGCUCAGCCAUAAACCUAGACGUUAAAUCACAACGAACGUCCGCCAGGGUACUACGAGCGUCAGCUUAAAACCCAAAGGACUUGGCGGUGCCUUAGACCCCCCUAGAGGAGCCUGUUCUAGAACCGAUAACCCCCGUUAAACCUCACCACUUCUAGUCACCCCCGCCUAUAUACCGCCGUCGUCAGCUUACCCUGUGAAGGCCCAAUAGUAAGCAAAGCGGGCACAGCCCAAAACGUCAGGUCGAGGUGUAGCGCACGAAGUGGGAAGAAAUGGGCUACAUUUUCUAUAGUAGAAUAAAUACGAAUAGCACUAUGAAAACUAACGCUUGAAGGAGGAUUUAGUAGUAAAAAGGAAAUAGAGUGUCCUUUUGAACCCGGCUCUGAGGCGCGUACACACCGCCCGUCACUCUCCCCUGUUUAACAGCUACCAAGGUAAAUAACACCAAAGCACCAACAAGGGGAGGCAAGUCGUAACAUGGUAAGUGUACCGGAAGGUGCACUUGGAUCAAA
rnacentral:ncRNA from 1 species